rnacentral:RNase_P_RNA from 1 species
GUCGCAACUGAAAAGUUGAGGAAAGUCUGGGCAACACAGAGCACCAUACUUCCUAACAGGAAGGCGCAGAGAUGCGACAGAUAGUGCCACAGAAAAUAUACCGCCUAAUAAAAGGUAAGGGUGAAAUCGCGAGGUAAGAGCUCACGCCGUUAGCAGUGAUGUUAACGAGGGUAAACCUUAUGGGUUGAAAGACCAAAUAAACCAGGGUAUGAGGGCUGCUCGUCCGACCUGGAGGGUAGGUUGAUAGAGACUUGUGGCGACACAAGUUCGAGAUAAAUGACAACAUAAAACAGAACCCAGCUUACGGGUUUUCCU